rnacentral:rRNA from 1 species
UACGUAGGGACCGAGCGUUGUCCGGAUUCAUUGGGCGUAAAGAGCUCGUAGGCGGCUGUUCAAGUCGAACGUGAAAACUCGGAGCUCAACUCCGAGCCUGCGUUCGAGACUGGAUGGCUAGAGUCUGGUAGGGGGAUCUGGAAUUCCUGGUGUAGCGGUGAAAUGCGCAGAUAUCAGGAGGAACACCGGUGGCGAAGGCGGGUCUCUGGGCCGAUACUGACGCUGAGGAGCGAAAGCGUGGGGAGCGAACAGG